rfam:Pan troglodytes isolate Yerkes chimp pedigree #C0471 (Clint) chromosome Y, whole genome shotgun sequence.
AUCCAUGAAGAGGCGGAUAUAAACAAAUAAGAUGAGAAGAUCCUAUAGAGCUUUAAUUCAUUAAUGCAAAUAAAACCUCAAAAGAGCCUGCAGGCCCUAGUGUACUAUCCCUGCAUUCAAAAUUUGGGUUGAGGUGACCUCGGAGCCUAAUUCAACCUUUGCACAACCUAAACUAAGACUACAGUAGUCUAAGCGAGUUGACACACAUUGAUCCAGUAAUUUGAUCAAUGACAUAAGUUGUCCUAGGGAUAACAGCAUAAUCCUAUUCUAGAGUCUAUAUCAACAGUAGAGUUUAAAACCUCCAUGUUGGAUAAGGACAUCCUAAUGGUGCAGACACUGUUAAGGAUUCCUUUGUUCAAGGAUUAAAGUCCUAUGUGAUCUGAGUUCAGACCAGUGUAACCCAGGUCAGUUUCUGUCUAUUU